rnacentral:rRNA from 1 species
AUUGAACGCUGGCGGCAUGCCUUACACAUGCAAGUCGAACGGCAGCACGGGAGCAAUCCUGGUGGCGAGUGGCGAACGGGUGAGUAAAGUAUCGGAACGUGCCCAGUCGUGGGGGAUAACGUAGCGAAAGUUACGCUAAUACCGCAUACGAUCUAUGGAUGAAAGCGGGGGAUCGCAAGACCUCGCGCGAUUGGAGCGGCCGAUAUCAGAUUAGGUAGUUGGUGGGGUAAAGGCUCACCAAGCCGACGAUCUGUAGCUGGUCUGAGAGGACGACCAGCCACACUGGGACUGAGACACGGCCCAGACUCCUACGGGAGGCAGCAGUAGGGAAUUUUGGACAAUGGGCGAAAGCCUGAUCCAGCCAUGCCGCGUGCAGGAUGAAGGCCUUCGGGUUGUAAACUGCUUUUGUACGGAACGAAUAGGCUCUGGUUAAUACCUGGGGCUCAUGACGGUACCGUAAGAAUAAGCACCGGCUAACUACGUGCCAGCAGCCGCGGUAA